rnacentral:misc_RNA from 1 species
GAUGCAAGAGUAGGAAAACGCGCAAACAGGAAGUCCACAACCAAACAUAUCAACAACCUUCAUCGGAAGGUCUAAGCCUGAUGAAGAAGUAUGCAAACAAACCCCUAAAUCUGCUGAUCCGAGAAGUAAUGGGUAAUCCUCUGCAGACAGCCACAUUGUACGAAAUGCCACACGCUUAAGGUGUAAUUUACUGAUCUUAUCUUCAUACUUUUGUUUGUCA